rnacentral:tRNA from 1 species
GUGGACGUGCCGGAGUGGUUAUCGGGCAUGACUAGAACAUGUGGGCUUUGCCCGCACAGGUUCGAAUCCUGCCGUUCAGG